rnacentral:rRNA from 1 species
GCUAAACGCGAAGAACCUUACCAGGUCUUGACAUCCCUCUGAAUCCUCUAGAGAUAGAGGCGGCCCUUCGGGGACAGAGGAGACAGGUGGUGCAUGGUUGUCGUCAGCUCGUGUCGUGAGAUGUUGGGUUAAGUCCCGCAACGAGCGCAACCCUUGAUCUUAGUUGCCAGCGCGUGAAGGCGGGCACUCUAGGAUGACUGCCGGUGACAAACCGGAGGAAGGCGGGGAUGACGUCAAAUCAUCAUGCCCCUUAUGACCUGGGCUACACACGUACUACAAUGGCCGGUACAACGGGCGGCGAGAGGGCGACCUUGAGCGAAUCCCUGAAAGCCGGUCUCAGUUCGGAUUGCAGGCUGCAACUCGCCUGCAUGAAGUCGGAAUUGCUAGUAAUCGCGGAUCAGCAUGCCGCGGUGAAUACGUUCCCGGGUCUUGUACACACCG